GACGAACGCUGGCGGCGUGCUUAACACGUGCAAGUCGAACGGAAAGGCCCUGCUUUUGUGGGGUGCUCGAGUGGCGAACGGGUGAGUAACACGUGAGUAACCUGCCCUUGACUUUGGGAUAACUUCAGGAAACUGGGGCUAAUACCGGAUAGGAGCUCCUGCUGCAUGGUGGGGGUUGGAAAGUUUCGGCGGUUGGGGAUGGACUCGCGGCUUAUCAGCUUGUUGGUGGGGUAGUGGCUUACCAAGGCUUUGACGGGUAGCCGGCCUGAGAGGGUGACCGGCCACAUUGGGACUGAGAUACGGCCCAGACUCCUACGGGAGGCAGCAGUGGGGAAUAUUGCACAAUGGGCGGAAGCCUGAUGCAGCAACGCCGCGUGCGGGAUGACGGCCUUCGGGUUGUAAACCGCUUUCGCCUGUGACGAAGCGUGAGUGACGGUAAUGGGUAAAGAAGCACCGGCUAACUACGAG
rnacentral:rRNA from 1 species